AACGAACGCUGGCGGCAGGCUUAACACAUGCAAGUCGAACGCAUCGCAAGAUGAGUGGCAGACGGGUGAGUAACGCGUGGGAACAUACCCUUUUCUACGGAAUAGCUCUGGGAAACUGGAAUUAAUACCGUAUACGCCCUACGGGGGAAAGAUUUAUCGGGGAAGGAUUGGCCCGCGUUGGAUUAGCUAGUUGGUGGGGUAAAGGCCUACCAAGGCGACGAUCCAUAGCUGGUCUGAGAGGAUGAGCCGCCACAUUGGGACGGGGACACGGCCCGAACUCCUACGGGAGGCGGCAGUGGGGAAUAUUGGACAAUGGGCGCAGGCCUGAUCCAGCCAUGCCGCGUGAGUGAUGAAGGCCUUAGGGUUGUAAAGCUCUUUCACCGAUGAAGAUAAUGACGGUAGCCGGAGAAGAAGCCCCGGCUAACUUCGUGCCAGCCGCCGCAGUAAAAC
rnacentral:rRNA from 1 species